rnacentral:rRNA from 1 species
GACGUAGGGCGCGAGCGUUGUCCGGAAUUACUGGGCGUAAAGAGCUCGUAGGUGGUUUGUCGCGUUGUUCGUGAAAACUCACAGCUUAACUGUGGGCGUGCGGGCGAUACGGGGCAGACUGGAGUACUGCAGGGGAGACUGGAAUUCCUGGUGUAGCGGUGGAAUGCGCAGAUAUCAGGAGGAACACCGGUGGCGAAGGCGGGUCUCUGGGCCGUUACUGACGCUGAGGAGCGAAAGCGUGGGGAGCGAACAGG